GAUGAACGCUGGCGGCGUGCCUAAUACAUGCAAGUCGAGCGAACAGACAAGGAGCUUGCUCCUUUGACGUUAGCGGCGGACGGGUGAGUAACACGUGGGUAACCUACCUAUAAGACUGGGAUAACUUCGGGAAACCGGAGCUAAUACCGGAUAAUAUUUCGAACCGCAUGGUUCGAUAGUGAAAGAUGGUUUUGCUAUCACUUAUAGAUGGACCCGCGCCGUAUUAGCUAGUUGGUAAGGUAACGGCUUACCAAGGCGACGAUACGUAGCCGACCUGAGAGGGUGAUCGGCCACACUGGAACUGAGACACGGUCCAGACUCCUACGGGAGGCAGCAGUAGGGAAUCUUCCGCAAUGGGCGAAAGCCUGACGGAGCAACGCCGCGUGAGUGAUGAAGGUCUUCGGAUCGUAAAACUCUGUUAUUAGGGAAGAACAUACGUGUAAGUAACUAUGCACGUCUUGACGGUACCUAAUCAGAAAGCCACGGCUAACUACGUGCCAGCAGCCGCGGUAAUACGUAGGUGGCAAGCGUUAUCCGGAAUUAUUGGGCGUAAAGCGCGCGUAGGCGGUUUUUUAAGUCUGAUGUGAAAGCCCACGGCUCAACCGUGGAGGGUCAUUGGAAACUGGAAAACUUGAGUGCAGAAGAGGAAAGUGGAAUUCCAUGUGUAGCGGUGAAAUGCGCAGAGAUAUGGAGGAACACCAGUGGCGAAGGCGACUUUCUGGUCUGUAACUGACGCUGACGUGCGAAAGCGUGGGGAUCAAACAGGAUUAGAUACCCUGGUAGUCCACGCCGUAAACGAUGAGUGCUAAGUGUUAGGGGGUUUCCGCCCCUUAGUGCUGCAGCUAACGCAUUAAGCACUCCGCCUGGGGAGUACGACCGCAAGGUUGAAACUCAAAGGAAUUGACGGGGACCCGCACAAGCGGUGGAGCAUGUGGUUUAAUUCGAAGCAACGCGAAGAACCUUACCAAAUCUUGACAUCCUUUGACAACUCUAGAGAUAGAGCCUUCCCCUUCGGGGGACAAAGUGACAGGUGGUGCAUGGUUGUCGUCAGCUCGUGUCGUGAGAUGUUGGGUUAAGUCCCGCAACGAGCGCAACCCUUAAGCUUAGUUGCCAUCAUUAAGUUGGGCACUCUAAGUUGACUGCCGGUGACAAACCGGAGGAAGGUGGGGAUGACGUCAAAUCAUCAUGCCCCUUAUGAUUUGGGCUACACACGUGCUACAAUGGACAAUACAAAGGGCAGCGAAACCGCGAGGUCAAGCAAAUCCCAUAAAGUUGUUCUCAGUUCGGAUUGUAGUCUGCAACUCGACUACAUGAAGCUGGAAUCGCUAGUAAUCGUAGAUCAGCAUGCUACGGUGAAUACGUUCCCGGGUCU
rnacentral:rRNA from 1 species